UGGGUAGGGGGCCGCGGUCGGAGAUGCAGCCAAGAUAUUUACCGGAGAGAAACCUUAAAGGCUGGAAAUGUAAGCAUCCGGGGCACUGACGCGCUCUCUCCGGAUCUCCUCACUCAUUGGCUGCGGGUAUCUCGCACAGCGAACGGACCGCCCCGCCCUCUCGGCCCCCGUAGCCCGUCAUCCUGCUUCCUUUCGAGAUUGUAAUUACCCCGAAAAGCCUGAUUUUUGAGAAGUAGCAGUAAGGUGUAUGAACUGAAAAAACAAAACAAAACAAACCCCCACAACAUAAGAGCUAUUUCUCUGGUGCCAGUAUGUAUUAUAAAAUGUCCAAGAGAAUCCAGUCAGCCCUUCUGAUGCUUACCAAACCUGAAAGUGGUAGGAAUAAACAUGUAAUGGUGCAGCCCUGACCAAGUGUUGGAUGGGGACUAGUGGUUUCCCACUCCUCCUCUUUGGGGUGACUUCCUAAAAUAGACUGUCUGUUAAUAGCUUUUGUCUCCAGCUCUGCUUUUGGAGAGGACCCAUGCUGAAACAAAUUGAAAUAUGUUGAAAUGUGUGCAUUCUCACUGAAUAUCUUUUUUUUUUUAAAUUAAACCUUCAAAAAAUGAAAUUCAUCAUAUAUCAGAAUUUUAUGGACUACAUGCUCUAUUAAUAGAAAAAGAAAAGACAAUUUUACAGGCUGUAAGUUUAAAGAUGUUGUCAAUUAGGAAGAAUGAUUUCCUGUGCAAUAAUUGCUGGCAUUUCCAUCAAAUUACAUUUUUACAUUACAUCGUCUAAAAUGCAAGCCUUUCUAAACAAUUUCAAUUUUCAUUAAACUUUGACACUUUAGAUGAUGCAUGUGAGCGCUAAAUGACUGAUUUUGCUCAGAUUUGAAUAAAUUAAUCAAAAUUGUAAAAUUUG